GGUGUGAACGCAAAAUCCCAAUAACUAUCGGAACUAUUCCUGGGAAAAGUACUCCGGUGUGAAAGCGCCUAUUGUGGAUCAGACACUGUUUUGGUUUGGGGGGAUUUAUUACAGUUAAAGGGGCAGAACGUCCCUAUCUUCAUGCAGACUAAACACUGUGUGAACAGAUUUCAGUAAGAAGUAUUUCAUGCUUAAGACGGGUAGCGUUUUUUUAAUAUCUAGAAUGAAUGUGAAAACAUUUGAUACAGCACAGUGACAAUGAGACCCUAAAUGUGUCUAAUGUUUAAAUCCUGCACAGACAGACAUUACUCAUUAGUUUAUUUUUGGUUUUUUCAUGUUGAUUCACCUCUGAAAGGAGCUCAAGGGGUUAACACAAUCAAAUUCAAGUAUACUUUAUUGUAAAAGCUUCUUUACUGUAACAUUAAAAUGCUUUAAGAUAAGAGAUUCAGCCUGAAGACAACACACUGGAGAUAAAAGUACAAAUGGUAAAAAAUUAUUAUGACCAGUUUCCAGAUUGAGCGGUCAAUAAUAAACCUGAAGUGCAGAUUUCCGUCACAUUUACAUUGUUCUUUCCUGCUUUUCUAUCAUUCCCUUCUAUGUGGUUAAAGCUUCACUUGAGCACCACAACACCUGUGUGUAUACGCUUUAGUUGUAGUUGUCUCUCACAGGAUGAAAAGUGUUUGGGUUCCUUGCUCGUCAUCGACGUCUGGAGACUGAAAAAUGACCGAUAUUGGCCAAAAAGGAUGAAGCUGAGGUAGCAACUACCAUGCCUGAGAGACCUGUCCAUCAAGGUUUCCCAAGGGGACGCUACUGAGAAGCUGGCUCACCAAGUCGCGGCCCAGGUUGCUGCUGCUCAUCGCAGGGUUGAAGAGGCCUCAGGUGACCCUCAUGAGGAGGAAAAGGAUGAAGCGCACAAAAGUAGCAAAGGCCACGUAAGCGAACCUGCAGUCGGAUGCCGCACUUCACUUGAGACCUUUGAGGGGAGGGUCUGCUCGUUAGAUAUGGAAGACAAAGAAGAGGGAGACCUGUGUGUUGGAUCUUUGCCCCAGCAACAAACUAUAAUCCAGGGAUCACAAAACAGGGUGAAGCAAGAGGACGAACCACAGAGAUUGAGACCCCCAGAUUAAUCCGGAUUACACCCACAACCUGGACUACAACUUCACCCCCUAUUCAAAUAUGCACCUGUUUUGGCUCAUUAGACUCUAAUGACUGUAGCUUGUACUUCAUUCCUAUCCAAAGACAAACUGUCCCUGUGUUUUUAGUUCAGCCUGUUUCAGCUUUCCAGCUCCGUGUGUUUUAGUCUCAGAAAAGUCAAAACCUGCUGCUGAUUGAAGUCUGACGAGACGCUCACUGCUGCCUCACAUUCUUCGGUCAGAUAAUAAUUUAACAAGUAGCUUUAACUAUGGAUGUUUGAUGGGAACUGGAUACGGCGCUGUCGCUCAACCUUGCUUCCAAUUAUUCCCACCGGCCACUUGUGGUGUUGAAAGGACACCUUGCUUUGCAAACAAGGUCUUUCUCUUGUGGAUUUUUCAAUGCAUGGAGGUUUUAUAUUUCUGUAUCAAGCCGAAAGAAGCAAUUUUAAAAUCUUCAAUGUAAAGUCUCCGGGAAGACCAAGAACUUGCGGGUAGUGACAGCGGGACCACAUUUCACAAAAGUAAACUCAGAAGCUAUAAAAACUAUUUUGGCGUAUGUGCCAUGCAAAAUGCCUUCGCUUAUCCAGUUCUUAUAUAUCUAUUACCUUCAAACAAUACGAAAGCAUCACAUGACAUACACCACAAAAUGUGGAUGUUUUAUCGUUCAACUGUUGCCGGUAUUAACAUUUGUAAUGCAGAAAUUCAGACACUGUAAUGAGAAUUUAAGGUUGCUAAUCGCACCAAUCACGAUUUAAAAAAAAACUGAAAAAAGUGGGUUAAUUUGAUUUGCUGUUGUUGCUGGACCUCCACUCGAGGAACGUUAAUUGACUUAUAAGACACAUGUGCAAACUGGAGCUUCUGGGUAUUAGACAAACUUAAUGUGUUUUUCUUUUCAUUUUAUUUUUCAUAAAGUUGGUAGAAUACGUUUUGGAACGAACCGCUUAUUUUGUGUGCGUUUGUCAGUACAUUGUGAAACCAGCUUCAUGUGGGAGGUUUGAACCUCGCUUUGCCAAAUAGAUAAUAUUUUCUUAGCAGCCUCAGGAAAUGGAAUUUUCAGCAGCUACCAAUGUUGGGAAAUUGAAAUGGCAUCCAGCCAAAAAUGUCCUUUUACUAGUAUUUGACAGAGAGUUGUGUUGGUUGAGAGAGGUCCUAGUUAAUCACCAUGUCAGAUACUGGAACGUCAUCAAUGGGAACAUCUUUAGAAAGAACUGGGGCUUAAUGGUGUGCUUAAAACUAGUUUGAUUUAUUUGAAGCAUUUAAUAAAAUGGAAAUGCAUUUUUCUUUUGACCAAG